rnacentral:rRNA from 1 species
CCGUAGCCCAAGAGAUCGGGAUAACACCUGGAAACAGAUGCUAAUACCGGAUAACAACAGAUGAUGCCUAUCAACUGUUUAAAAGAUGGUUCUGCUAUCACUCUUGGAUGGACCUGCGGUGCAUUAGCUAGUUAGUAGGGUAACGGCCUACCAAGGCGAUGAUGCAUAGCCGAGUUGAGAGACUGAUCGGCCACAUUGGGACUGAGACACGGCCCAAACUCCUACGGGAGGCAGCAGC